GUGGGGAAUAUUGGGCAAUGGGCGAAAGCCUGACCCAGCAACGCCGCGUGAAGGAAGAAGGUCUUCGGAUUGUAAACUUCUUUGAUCAGGGACGAAAGAAAUGACGGUACCUGAAGAACAAGCCACGGCUAACUACGUGCCAGCAGCCGCGGUAAUACGUAGGUGGCAAGCGUUAUCCGGAUUUACUGGGUGUAAAGGGCGUGUAGGCGGUUCUGCAAGUCAGAUGUGAAAUUCCCGGGCUUAACCCGGGCGCUGCAUCUGAAACUGCAGAACUUGAGUACUGGAGAGGAUAGUGGAAUUCCUAGUGUAGCGGUAAAAUGCGUAGAUAUUAGGAGGAACACCAGUGGCGAAGGCGGCUAUCUGGACAGUAACUGACGCUGAGGCGCGAAAGUGUGGGGAGCAAACAGGAUUAGAUCCCGAGUAGUCC
rnacentral:rRNA from 1 species